GGGACGAACGCUGGCGGCGUGCUUAACACAUGCAAGUCGAGCGGUAAGGCCUUUCGGGGUACACGAGCGGCGAACGGGUGAGUAACACGUGGGUGAUCUGCCCUGCACUUCGGGAUAAGCCUGGGAAACUGGGUCUAAUACCGGAUAUGACCUCCUAUCGCAUGGUGGGUGGUGGAAAGAUUUAUCGGUGCAGGAUGGGCCCGCGGCCUAUCAGCUUGUUGGUGGGGUAAUGGCCUACCAAGGCGACGACGGGUAGCCGACCUGAGAGGGUGACCGGCCACGACUGGGACUGAGACACGGCCCAGACUCCUACGGGAGGCAGCAGUGGGGAAUAUUGCACAAUGGGACAAGCCUGAUGCAGCGACGCCGCGUGAGGGAUGACGGCCUUGGGUCGUAACCUUCUUCAGCAGGACGAAGCGCAAGUGACGGUACUGACGAGAAGAAGCCGACGUCGUGACUACGUCGCCAAGCAGCCGC
rnacentral:rRNA from 1 species